AUUCAGCUGACACGUCGCAAAUGGGACGAAACGCGCAUCCUGGAU
rnacentral:hammerhead_ribozyme from 1 species